AUUGCAGAACACAUUGAACAUCGACACCUUGAACGCAUAAGGCGGCCUGGGGUCCAUCCCGAGGCCACGCCUGUCUGAGGGUCG
rnacentral:rRNA from 1 species